rfam:Rattus norvegicus chromosome 19, whole genome shotgun sequence.
GGGGAUUUAGCUCAGUGGUAGGGCACUUGCCUAGCAAGCGCAAGGCCCUGGGUUCAGUCCCCA